CUCAAUCGUGUCUCAAAAUAAUUUUGCAGUCGUUUUGUAGAAAAAAUAAUUAUGAAUAAUAAUUUCUUAUUAUUUAAAUGAAUUAUUAUUCGAUAUGGUGAAUUUGUGAAUUUCAACUAUUAUGUGAAUAUCAUUGAUUGAUCGCGUGUAAAGUUAUUCUGAUUUGAUUGUUGUAGUGCUAAUUUCAUCGACUCGAAUUUGUAACUCAAAGGUUAUCCGUCAAAAUGGGAAGGAAAAAGAAGAGACAGUCAAAACCAUGGUGUUGGUAUUGUAAUAGAGAAUUCGAAGACGAAAAAAUUCUAAUUCAGCAUCAAAAAGCCAAACACUUCAAAUGCCAUAUUUGUCACAAGAAAUUAUAUACGGGUCCUGGGUUAUCAAUUCAUUGUAUGCAGGUACAUAAAGAACCAAUUGAUAAAGUUCCUAAUGCGCUCUCUAAUCGAUCUAAUAUUGAAAUUGAAAUAUACGGAAUGGAAGGUAUACCUGAAGAAGAUCUCAAAGAACAUGAAAGGCAAAAGCAAGGUAAAAGUGGAAAAAAUUCGGAUAGUGAAGAUGAAGCUCCAACUAAGAAACAUAAACCUGAAAAUCAAAAUAAUUCCUCGAAUGCCAUGUCAGGCUUACCUCCAGGAAUGAUGACUAACGUAAUGCCGCCUCAAUUUCCACAAAUGAUGGGGCAUAUGGGACACGUUGCACCUCCGUUUAUGGGCGCUGGUUUACCAUCUAUGAUGCCUACACCUGCUGGAAUGAACUCUGGCCAAUUGAACGCUCCUGGAACUCCUACGUCAGUUGGAGUUGCUUCUCAAUCGCACCCUAAUAAGCCUUUGUUUCCAAGCGCCGCAGCCAUUACGUCAAGCUCUGCAACUUCCUCCACCCUAGUGGGCAGUGAUUUUAAACCAAUUAACAGUACAGCGCCUUCGACUUCAAAACCUACAUUUCCCGCUUAUGGAGGAAAUGAUACUUCCAGUUCGACGAACGCUGAUCAAAAAGUCGUUUUAAUUAAUACCGUUGGGGCAUCGAGUAAAAUUGUACAUCCACCAGAAGAUGUUUCAUUGGAAGAACAUAGAGCUAGAUUACCAAAAUAUAAAGUGGAAGAAUCAACUCCUGUGGUUUCAAUGCCAGAAGCUACCGAAGCAAACACAACAGUUACUAUUUCAACGUCAAUGCCCGGAGCACCUACGUCUGUUAGUUUAACAUACGCUCAACAAGUCGAACUCGGUAAACAGCAACAACAGCAGCAUCAGCAAAUUCAACAACAGGCCGCAGCCGCUGCUGUAGCUAAUGCAGCGGCCGCAGCUGCAGCAGCGAUGAUGCCCCGGUUUCCGCAAAUUGGUACUUUACCAAUGUCUGUCACUAUGCCGCCUACUAGUGGCAUUACUUUGAUGACUCCUAUGCCUGGUGCACAUUUAUUAAGGCCUACUAUGACGUUAGGUCCUCAUACCGCGAUCAUGUCGCCGGCCGCUAAUGUAGGAAUGUUAAGACCAUCACCCGUAGGAUUUCCAGGAUUUCUCGGAGCGGCACCGAUGAUGAGCCCGUACGGAACGGCUCAAAUGACUUUUCCUGGUGGUCCAGUUCUGACACCGAUGAUGCCGAGAUUCAGAUGAUCAGGUUUGUUAGAGGGGAUAUGGUUAUUAUACCCCUCUCAUAACUUAUAACGAAAAUUGACACAUUCACUCUUAUAUUAAGCCAUUUUCGUUUUUGAUACAAACCACUUUUUAAAAUGGAAUUAUUACGAUAUCGAGCGUACGGUGUUAUAUCUGCGUAGACGCGCGUCAUCUAAUCAUUAUAUCCACGUUGGGUAGUUGUGAUAGAAAGUCGUCAACAUCGUCGAUCGUAAUUUACCAACUCAGCAUUUUUAUGUUAAAUUUUCUCCGACUUGGAGAAGAGCGUGCUUCGAUUAGGGUUGCAACCUCUUUUCUCUGUUUUCUUUCAUCGUUAAAAACGAUAAUAUGGUGUAAGGUUAUGUUUAAAUAUGUCUUAUUAUAUCGCAUACUUAUAAUAUUAUUUUUCUUUUAAAUUAAUUUCUUUUGUUUUUGGUCUUUCUUUUGUAAAAUGAAAGAGAAAAAAAUUUGAACGGAUAAUUUUUGAAAUUUUGCAAGUUGACUUUUUCCAAGUAGUGUGAAUCGUGUAAAUUUAGAUAGUAUAGUUCUAUUGUUAGGUUUCUCUUUGCGACUCUUUGUAUAUACCUUCGAAUUGCGAAUUUCUUAAACGACGUGUGUUUAUUUUUUCCUCCUCCUUCUCACCCCUUGCCCCUACCACAAAAAAAUGAAAAAAGUGAUUAAUUUAUUUUAUACCUUUAAACGCCUCCAGUUAAGUGUAUAUGUUUUUUUCAGCAUAAUAUCCAUCCGAAUAUGAACAUUGAAUAUAGUUUUCCUUAAAUCGAUAUUCUCGCGGUAUUGUGACGAAAAAUGUGUGAGGUAGGAGUUGAAACUAAAAAUUCUGUGACAUUAAAAUUCGGUCUCUGAAUUUGCGGCCAUUUGAUCAUUUAAAGUAAGGGGACAUGACCGUCCAAAGGUAUUGUACCGUUUUUUUUCCUUCUUCUCUUCUAUACAAAAACUACCAUUUUGUAGUCACAGUACGGCUGUUGGACAGGUGUCCCUUGUCCGAGCGCGUUAUCGGGCAGGCGAAAUAUCACAGCUAAACUGUUGGACUUUGUACCCAUAAUACAAAGUCCCUUGUUGGGUUUUCGACGGCGGAACUCAACAGGUGAUGCAGGUUUAUUGGCGUGAUAUCACAGUGCAUUUCGAAGCACUGUUGGACUCCGACGAGUCCCCUGUGUUCUGUAAUAUCGGACACAGGCGAUUUUUAUUUUUAUAUACUCGUGUUCGUGUUAGAGACGGCAACUUUACCACUUUAAUUAAUCUACGUAGAUUCGGGUGACGGGUGAAUAAUUUAUUUAAUAUUUUAUUCUCAUAGAUUUGCUAAUUGUGCUGUUUGCGAAUGAUUUGAUCGCCUUUAUCUGAUUACGUAUAACAUUGUGUUAGUUGUGCAAAAUUUCAAGUUUUUUGAAUGUCAGGGUUUGAAAACUUAUUCCAUGCCAGAAUACGUGAUCAUUGAUCAGCAAGUAAUACAAUGUUCGUAAAUUCUGAAAAUUGAGAAGUUUUCCCCGAAAGAAUUCAUCUGGAAAAAAUUCAGAGGAAAUAGGAUAAGAAUUGACUGUCUAAAUAACUGGUUAUUUUCGAAUAAGUUGCAAAUCUUCGUCCUUUAUUAAUCCUCUUUUAUUUUUUGGCGGCGGGGCGAGGGCAAAUUAUAGGAUGGGCGGGGGGGGGGUGCCCAAGAAAAACAUCCUCCCUAGUACUAAAAGAAGCAGUGAAGAAUCGCUACAUUUUUUUGGUUUCGAAAAAGUAUUAAUAAAAUUAAAAAUUCUAUUACUUUUACUCAACAAAUCGAUUUUUCUUCAAACUUCAAGCGAAAAACUGGAAAAGUGGUUAAAACAUUAGGUAUUAUUAGAAAAAAAAGUAUGAAAAUUGAAGUUGAAACACUAAUACAUAAAAAUAUUAAAAUUUUAUUUCUCAUGGCAAAUUAAUAUUUAGGAAAAAAAAAACAGAACAGGAAACGAAAAACAUGAGAAAAGUGUAGUACAAAUGCAGAAUAAGUACUGAAAUUUGAACUGAAAUGAAUUGAAAAAUUAUUUUGUUGCCUGAUUUGAAGUCAUUUUAUUUGGGGAAAAAUUCAAAUUUGUCUUCCUUUUUUGUUCCCAAACCCAAAUGAAAUGGAGGACGUGUCAUGUUGAAAAAAUGAAGGAAACUGAAGAUUAUCUUCAUUUGCAACAAUCUCAAACUGCCUUUUAGGUAAAUGAAAAUUCUUAAGACACUCUUUUGUCACGAUUUUAAACGGAAAAAACUGCUGAAAAAUGUUACAAUUCCAUUGCUGUUGGAUGGUUGCCGUCUCUAUUAGUCACGAUUAUAAAAUUAGUUUAGUUUUUAAGGAAUGUGAUUGUGGAUGAAUUCGAUUACCUUCGUAAUGGUGUCUUUUACCAUUUAUUAUGAAUGAGAUUUUGUAUGCAUUGUGACGUGUUCGUGUAUGACGAUUCGCCCAGGAUGUAUUUCCUAAUUACUUUGUUUGGAAUCUUAGAAGCGUAUUCGCGCACAUCUAACCCCUACGCUUGGCAUGCCAUUCAAAUUGUAUAAAUUCGGGUGUAGCAGAAUGAAAAAAACAAAACAGAACAAGCUAUAUACAUUUAAUUUGCUUGUGGUAAGGGUAAGAAGUAGGGUGUUUUUUUGACGAUGUGUACGCUUGUGCGUUGAUAUGUUGAUGUACUUAUUAUUUUUUGAAGUGCCGCUCGAAAAUGUUGGAACAAAUUUCACACGUUGCAUGUUAUUAUGUGGAAGAGGUGGUAUAUAUGCGCUUACAACUAAUAACGGGUUAUGGCACAAUCUUCACAUUUGUGUGGCACUUUGUAUAAUGCCUUUUUUAUGCCGUAGACAAAAAAAUAUUACCGUCAAGCUGACUUGAAUGUACUCGUACCGUGUACAAUACAUUAUAUGGUAUUCGUGAAUAUGAAUAUGGCUGUUGUUGGUGAUAGAGAUGAUGCAAGUUGUUGUGAUUGUGAUCGUAUGUAUUUUUCAUCCUCGCAUUUAUACUACUAAGUUACUACGUGUACGUACAUUAUCUCAUGUGCAAAAUAUGUGUAACUUACGUACGUCGUAAAUUUCAAAUUUUCCGCCAAGUUGAUUUUUCUGCGAGUAUUACCUAUAGUUCAGUAUUAAAAAUACUUCCACGAAUGCGCUUCUACGUAUUUUAUAAUUUAGAUAGGUGUGCUAUGUUCGUGUAUGUGUGUGCAUACAUGUGCAGAUUUAAUCACCGAACACGUGAAUGAGAAAUGAAUCUGCGUUUUGGAUCGUGUUAUUUUGACUUAUUUUGAUGCAAUAUAGUGAUAAAUUUUGAGCGAAGAAAAUCUGUCUAGUUGAACAGUUUAUUGCGACUAAAUUAUUUUCAUUUUUUUCCAACUCAUCUACCUCGUAUUAGGUGUUUAUUUAUGGAAAUUUUAAUUAAUUUAUUCCAUAUCGUUAAAUUGGUACAAUGUAUGUGUAUGCACAAUGUACAUAUGUACUACAUAAUGGUACCGUAUGCAUCGGCGUACGUAUACCUUCAAAUUAUUUUACCUACCUAUUCACAUUUUCGACCUCUAAAAUAAUUUUAAAAAAGGAAACACAAAACAUGUCGAAUUUUCAUCCAAUUUUCAUUCAACAUAGUUCCUUAGAAACUUGACUUUUUGUUUGUUUUGAUGGAAAAUACCUAUUAUUUUUGUGUAUUUUUUUUGACGGUAAGUUGUUCGAAGAAUAUGUCAUAUUUCAAAGUACUUUACACGAGUUGAAAUGAUUUUAGCCGAAGAAUCUGUUCAGAUGACGGUGUGCUUAAUUGGAAAAGUUGAAUAUUGAAUUGUUGAUUUCACGUGAUCGUGAUGAUUGUUAACGAUCAUGAAGCUCGAUUCGUGAUUAAACGAGUGAUAAUCGAUAAAUGUUACGAAUUGUAAUUUAAAUCAUUGUGAAUUGUUACUUACGUAUAAUAAAACCAAUUGUUUAACUAAAUCUA